rnacentral:rRNA from 1 species
AGAUUGAACGCUGGCGGCAGGCCUAACACAUGCAAGUCGAGCGGUAGAGAGGCGCUUGCACCUCUUGAGAGCGGCGGACGGGUGAGUAAUGCCUAGGAAUCUGCCUAGUGGUGGGGGAUAACGUUCGGAAACGGACGCUAAUACCGCAUACGUCCUACGGGAGAAAGCGGGGGACCUUCGGGCCUCGCGCCAUUAGAUGAGCCUAGGUCGGAUUAGCUAGUUGGUGAGGUAAUGGCUCACCAAGGCGACGAUCCGUAACUGGUCUGAGAGGAUGAUCAGUCACACUGGAACUGAGACACGGUCCAGACUCCUACGGGAGGCAGCAGUGGGAAUAUUGGACAAU